CCACUCGGUCAUUUACAUGUUGUAAUACUCAGUGCGGUUUUACUCCGUGGAUGGAAAAGGGCGAUUGGCCUUGUUCCAAACUUACAUACAAAAUGCUUUGAGGUUUAGUCGACAGAGUUGGCAGUAGUGUUGCUCUCUGCAUUCAUGGAAAACAAACAUCCGUUGGAAUGAACUGGACUCAUGGAGAUGGAGAGCUACGGCGUGAUUGUGGAGCGUAGAGAUUGUGGGCCAAGAGUCACGGAGAUGGGAAAAGUUGCCUUUAUCAUUUUUACCAUCUGCUAGACAGACUUCUUCACCUCUCUUCCUUAAACCCUAAUCGCCAACGCCGUCUGUUGUGACACGGUUUGUUCAACUCCCUUACGCUUUCCCUGGUUGUGUGCGAUUUUGGAUGCCGAGCCAUGGAAUGCUAGGAUGGCGAAGAAUGUUAGGAUGGCGGAGAGUGGGGAAACCGAGAGCUCACGCAGCUCGGAGGAUUUUCGGAGCAGCAACAGGGGAAGAGGACUUCGGUGUUUGAUUUUACAAAAAUUUAAAAGCUUGUUGUGAUGUGGUAGCUGGUUCCUUUCCUCGUGUUCUCAGUUUCAGACUGUUUGCUACUGCCAGGGUUUAUACGUGGUUCGUGUUCCGGAAUGCUCGAUUUCUUCGGUGCAGGUUGCAGUCAGUCAGCUUACUUGAAGUGUGUUCAGAUGCGAUUUCUUGAAGAUUCAGUUCUUACUCAAAAAUCCAGUUGUAGCUCCCCAAUUAGAAUAUGGCGCGUCGCAAGAGGACGCGUUCUUUCAGUCCGAAUGACCUCCAGGAUAAUGUUGGAGUGAUGCCUGAGGUGAAACGUAGAAAAUUCCUAGAAUUUAUUGAUGGAAAUUCUUCGAAGGAUACAAAUGUACCACGUAACUCGAAAACGACGCAUUACAAGAAUGAAGAAGAUAAAGACAAUGAUUGUUCAAAGAAGUGUGGGAAGUGGGAGUCAGCGACGCGACAUCGUCGACGUCAGAAGGUCAGUAUGUUUUGGUUUCGCAAGCAAUCGUCGAGAUUUUUCUUCACAAAUAGUUUCCACGAACAGCAGCACAGAUUCAAAACACUAUCAAAACGACAGAACAAUUUCUGCCGGAGGACGAACAUUUCCUUCCUUGACAAGGAGGAAAACUCUACCUUUGAGAGAAUCUCUUCAAACAGCGCCGCCACUACAACAAACGAUGAACCGAAGCUGAAUCAGGACAGUGAGGCCUUUGAGAGUUUCAAAGAGAUUAACACAUCAAAUUUGUCAAGAAGACUUUCAAGCAAGAGCCCUGCGUCAUUGACAGAGCAAUUAAGAGCAUCUGACGACAAGUCUGUUGAGCAAAGUAGUGCUGACUACUUUGAGCUUUACAGAAGACGGGAGAAGUUGAAACCUGUGGAUGCCGCCCGUUCUUUGUACACAAACUUUCAGACUCACGAUACACAAUCACAUGAUAAUCGUCAGAUGCAGCGGAGUGUCAAAUAUGAGAGUGAUAUUAUCGGAAGAACACCUUGUACAGCUAUUGAGAUUGAUUCUUCUGAUGAAGAGGAGAUAGCAGCACAUGACACUGGUUCCACAAUUAACCCAUGUGAACAGCGUUGCCAACCAAGGUUGCAGAGCGCAGGGAAAAGAUUGGAGAGAUUCAAGAUCGCUUACCCAUCAAGGACGGAUCCAGAGGCAGUAGAAAUUCUGGCUUCGGACGUUCAACUACUAAAUCCGUUGGAGUUUCUGAAUGACACUAUCAUUGAUUUUUACAUCAAGUACAUCCAAAGGGAGUUUCUGAGUCUGGAACGAAGUCGACGUUUUCACUUCUUCAAUAGUUUCUUUUAUAAAAAAUUGUGUGGUGUAGUUGGCAAGAAGAGGGAGAAAACUGACAACUUCUCUAAGUUACGGAAGUGGACAAAAGGCAUUAACAUUUUUGAAAAAGAUUACCUCUUUGUCCCAGUGCAUUCCAAAUUGCAUUGGAGUUUAGCAAUCAUUUGCUUUCCCAACCAUGGACCUGGCAGUGCAAGCGGCUCUGAACGCUGCAUUUUGCAUCUUGAUUCUAUGAACUGUGGACAUGACAGCUCCACAGUAUUCCGUUUGCUUCACAGGUAUCUUGUAGCAGAGUGGAAAUAUACGUUUGCCAAGGGUGGUGAAAGGGGUGGGAAUAAAUUGUCACGUCAUAUGAUACCAACGAGGAAAGUUCCGGUUCCACUACAGGAAAAUGGGUCAGAUUGUGGCCUUUUCCUUCUGUAUUACAUACAAAAAUUUGUGGAAAGAGCUCCUGGAACAUUGAAGAUCAGCGACGUGGAGAACAGAUUAGAGAGUAUAGGGUUGUUCGGUCGGCGUUGGUUUUUACCUACCGAAGCGUCCAGCCUAAGGACCACCAUUCGGCAACAAUUGUUAAAGCUUUUCGCCCAGGACGCGAAAGCCCAGGGCAUCGCUUUCAAAAGCACAAUGAAAAAAGAAAGGUACGAGUCAUGUCGAGCGAUGCCUGUAAUGGGGCUUAAGAAGUUGGCAUGCUCUACAAACUGGAGGCUGGGUUUUGAGAAUUUAUGAGUUGCGAAGCGGACAGAAAUUACUGACGUAUUUCACAUUCGGCAAUGCUUGGAUAUAAACUGAUCAACAAUUGGAAGGCAGUUACAAUGUAAAAUUUAAUUUCGUGAACUAGCACACUGCCUCUCAGGUCUCGCGCAAAUUCGACUCCACCAAGAAAUGUCGGGCAAACAAAUCACUGAAGGUUUACCUUGCAGUAAAAAAGGCCCCAGCCAAAGUCCUAAAUCCACAAAAUGGUCCUCAAUUUGAUUUUUGAAAGAAUCUUAGGUAGCAAAAUUCUUAAAAAUUAAUCAAAAAUAGUAUUCAACUACGUUUGAUUACCUCUUUUUAGAAAAUGUUACCAAUACAUCUGUUUUGUCUACCUCAAGAGUUUUUUUUUUUCUUUUUUUUUCAUUUUUCAUUUUUCUUUGUCUAUUUUUGUUUUAAUUCUCCUGAUUAGUAUCUCCUCAGCAUAACCUGGUAAUCUUAAAAAGAUAUCAAAGAAAUACAGGGAUGACUUGAGAACAAUUUACUCCUAUUAACCAUUAAAAGUUCAGUUAAUGACCAAUCUCUAAAUACAUCUAAAAAGAAAAAAUUCUACUUUGCAAAAACCUUGAAAAUAUUGUUGUGUUGUUAAGACCUAAAUCCAAAAUUCAUUCUAUAUUCUUUCACACUCUUGCUGCCUACCUACUAAACAUAUAUGUAUAUAUAUUUAUCUUAGUAGAUAUCUUAAAUUGUAUAAUAUCCAUCUUGUGGUGUUUAACUAUUUGCAACUUUUUAGUCUAUAAAUUAAUUUCGAUUCUCUU